GUGCGGACUACCAGGGUAUCUAAUCCUGUUUGAUACCCGCACCUUCGAGCUUAAGCGUCAGUUGCGCUCCCGUCAGCUGCCUUCGCAAUCGGAGUUCUUCGUCAUAUCUAAGCAUUUCACCGCUACACGACGAAUUCCGCCAACGUUGUGCGUACUCAAGGAAACCAGUAUGCGCUGCAAUUCAGACGUUGAGCGUCUACAUUUCACAACACACUUAAUCUCCAGCCUACGCUCCCUUUAAACCCAAUAAAUCCGGAUAACGCCUGGACCUUCCGUAUUACCGCGGCUGCUGGCACGGAAUUAGCCGGUCCUUAUUCGUAUGGUACCUGCAAAUAGGGACACGUCCCUAACUUUAUCCCCAUACAAAAGCAGUUUACAACCCAUAGGGCCGUCAUCCUGCACGCUACUUGGCUGGUUCAGACUUCCGUCCAUUGACCAAUAUUCCUCACUGCUGCCUCCCGUAGGAGUUUGGACCGUGUCUCAGUUCCAAUGUGGGGGACCUUCCUCUCAGAACCCCUACUGAUCGUUGCCUUGGUGGGCCGUUACCCCGCCAACAAGCUAAUCAGACGCAUCCCCAUCCAUUACCGAUAAAUCUUUACUUCAAAUCUGAUGCCGUCAUCGAAGACUAUGCGGUAUUAGUCUGCCUUUCGGCAGGUUAUCCCACAGUAAUGGGAAGGUUGGAUACGCGUUACUCACCCGUGCGCCGGUCGACGUCCAAAGAGUGCAAGCACUCAAUGCCGUUUCCCCUCGACUUGCAUGUGUUAAGCCUGUAGCUAGCGUUCAUCCUGAGCCAGGAUCAAACCCUG
rnacentral:rRNA from 1 species